rnacentral:rRNA from 1 species
GACGAACGCUGGCGGCGUGCUUAACACAUGCAAGUCGAACGGAAAGGCCCUGCUUUUGUGGGGUGCUCGAGUGGCGAACGGGUGAGUAACACGUGAGUAACCUGCCCUUGACUUUGGGAUAACUUCAGGAAACUGGGGCUAAUACCGGAUAGGAGCUCCUGCUGCAUGGUGGGGGUUGGAAAGUUUCGGCGGUUGGGGAUGGACUCGCGGCUUAUCAGCUUGUUGGUGGGGUAGUGGCUUACCAAGGCUUUGACGGGUAGCCGGCCUGAGAGGGUGACCGGCCACAUUGGAACUGAGAUACGGCCCAGACUCCUACGGGAGGCAGCAGUGGGGAGUAUUGCACAGUGGGCGGAAGCCUGAUGCAGCAACGCCGCGUGCGGGAUGACGGCCUUCGGGUUGUAAACCGCUUUCGCCUGUGACGAAGCGUGAGUGACGGUAAUGGGUAAAGAAGCACCGGCUAACUACGUG